CUUUUGCUUGUUUGUGUUUUGUGAAAGAGUUUUCUCUGUGUAUCCCUGGAUGUCCAGGAGCUCACUUUGUAGACCAGACUGGCCUCAAACUCAGUGGUCUGCCUACCU
ensembl:miRNA predicted gene, 27921